UCUCUCUCUCUCUCUCAAUGGAUCUUAUUAUAGCAAUGGCAGCAGAGAGCUGUUUGGCAAAGGAAACCAAGCCAAGGAUACCACAUGACUUUACAGAAUCCCAAUGAUGCUGGCUUCCCAGUGGAUAAGUCAGUUUCAGGAAAGCUGGCUCAUGUGGCUGAAGGUUGAGGAUCUGGGGAGCUGCUUGACCAUGUGAACUCUGCGCUGAAGCAUCGUCAUCGUCCCAUCAACUCUGACUGGUUCUCCCAGGUCCCGUAGUUACGGUUCUGUGAAUCACAUCCAUUCCAACGAAGCAGAACACAACAGCUGCAUUGUCAGUAAUCAGAGUUUAAGGGUAGUAACUUGGCCUUGAACAUGGAGUCCAGCCUCUCGGGUCAACCUUCCUAUGCUAUGACCUUUUAAUAGGGCUCCUCAUAGUGUGGUGAUCACAACCAUAAAAUUAGUUUUGUUGCUACUUCAUAACUGUCAUUUUGCUACUGUUAUGGAUCAUACUAUAUAUGUCUGUUGUGCAGGAUGGUCCUAGGCAUCCCCUGUGAAAAGUCAGAUUGAUCCCUAAAUGUGUCACAACCCGCAGGCUGAGAACCACUGCUCUUGGGCAAUGUUCCCGAGUGAAGGCUGGAUUUCUGACUUCUAAUCUAUCCAUGUUGGAGAAUAUCAAGAGGGCAAGGUAGAGGCAAGAGCCAGCAGACCCAAGAGUUUGUCCAAAUGCUCUAGUAGGUUCUCCUGUCUCAGAAUUAAAGCAGAGAUGGAUAGGAGAUGACAGUGAAACAAAAGAGAAAGUACCCCCACAAAGCUAGUACAGAGACCUGUGGAUACAGCAUAGUAAGAGCUAGCGAAUCAACUAAGCAUUUUCUUUAAAUUUUGUUUGACAGAAUUUGAGCAGAAAAAUUGGGCAAUUUGCUGUUGCUAUAUUCUUUUUAGCUCAGUGUUUCUUAUCAUUUUCAUCACCAGUUUAUUUUUAUAGUAGAAAGCACAUAAAAAUGUUCAAGUCUCAGAGUGAGAAUGCUCAGAGAAGAGGAGUUUGAGCCCCACUUGAACAGGUGUCUUGCAAUGCCUUGGUGAUGAUUUGUCUAAGUUUUACCCAAACUCCUGGCAGGAGAUUCUUAGACAAAAUUUAAGAAUGCCAAGAGUUCACUCAUAGGAUGAUGGCAAGAACUGAAUUCCCAUCACUUCAUGGGGAGUCACUAAGGCAACUUAUGCUGUUGUAUGCCUGGCCUGGUGACAACAUUCCUGAGUUUUGCUUUAGGGUCCCUAUAUAUGAUAGGCUUACUCCCGGUGUGGUUGACAUUUAAGGAAAAGCUUUAUCCUAAGAGGGGCAAUGCUCUUGGUCUUCUUAAAGUCCUAUGCCCAGGAUCUCAGCAAGUCUUUUGUAGAUUAAAUUAAAUGGACUGAAUUGGUGUAGCAUCAGCCAGGUUCCAAUUAAAGUCAUAGCUGUCUGCUGAGAAACAGCCUCGGCUCUGGGGAGAGAUGCUGACUCAUAUAAUGAUAGUUCUCUAGGGCCAGUGGGCAUUUUCAAUCCUUUUAAGGAUUAGUUUCACCAACCAGUUUUAGAAUGUCCAAAGUCAAUGUUGGAAUUCUUCACUGAAGCCCACUGAACACUGCCAGUUCUCCAGAAGUGAGCAAGUUGCUGUGUCGCCACAUGUUCCCUAUCUCUACAUAUUUUGGAUCAUUCUCCAGCUGUGUCAGAGGCUUCUGGAAGGCAAGAAUCUAUUUCUCAUAGGCUUUUGUACUUACUUUUGUACUUACCAAGAGCAACCUUUACAUUUUUAUUCAAUUGAUAUUAUCCAGAUAAGAUGAAAACAAGACAACUCAAAAUCCCACCUGGAGCCAGGUGUGGUGGCGCAUGCCUUUAAUCCCAGCACUCAGGAGGCAGACACAGGCAG
rnacentral:lncRNA from 1 species